rnacentral:piRNA from 1 species
UCCCUGGUCAGCCAUAUGUGUUCAGC